UUAUGAUGUUCCAGGUAUCCAGUCUAUCAGUCAGUAUUAUUUUAUAAUGUUCCAGGUAUCCAGUCUAUCAGGCAGUAUUAUAUUAUAAUGUUCCAGGUAUCCAGUCUAUCAGACAGUAUUAUAAUGUUCCAGGUAUCCAGUCUAUCAGUCAGUAUUAUUUUAUAAUGUUCCAGGUAUCCAGUCUAUCAGGCAGUAUUAUAUUAUAAUGUUCCAGGUAUCCAGUCUAUCAGACAGUAUUAUGAUGUUCCAGGUAUCCAGUCUAUCAGACAGUAUUAUGAUGUUCCAGGUAUCCAGUCUAUCAGUCAGUAUUAUUUUAUAAUGUUCCAGGUAUCCAGUCUAUCAGGCAGUAUUAUAUUAUAAUGUUCCAGGUAUCCAGUCUAUCAGACAGUAUUAUGAUGUUCCAGGUAUCCAGUCUAUCAGACAGUAUUAUGAUGUUCCAGGUAUCCAGUCUAUCAGUCAGUAUUAUUUUAUAAUGUUCCAGGUAUCCAGUCUAUCAGGCAGUAUUAUAUUAUAAUGUUCCAGGUAUCCAGUCUAUCAGACAGUAUUAUAAUGUUCCAGGUAUCCAGUCUAUCAGACAGUAUUAUGAUGUUCCAGGUAUCCAGUCUAUCAGACAGUAUUAUGAUGUUCCAGGUAUCCAGUCUAUCAGACAGUAUUAUAUUAUAAUGUUCCAGGUAUCCAGUCUAUCAGACAGUAUUAUAUUAUAAUGUUCCAGGUAUCCAGUCUAUCAGACAGUAUUAUGAUGUUCCAGGUAUCCAGUCUAUCAGACAGUAUUAUAAUGUUCCAGGUAUCCAGUCUAUCAGACAGUAUUAUAAUGUUCCAGGUAUCCAGUCUAUCAGACAGUAUUAUAAUGUUCCAGGUAUCCAGUCUAUCAGUCAGUAUUAUAUUAUAAUGUUCCAGGUAUCCAGUCUAUCAGUCAGUAUUAUAUUAUAAUG